rnacentral:rRNA from 1 species
UGGGGAAUUUUGCGCAAUGGGCGAAAGCCUGACGCAGCGACGCCGCGUGAAUGAAGAAGGCCUUCGGGUCGUAAAGUUCUUUCAGUAGGGAAGAAUAUGCAUGUCAGUAACUGGUCGUGCAAUGACGUUACCUACAGAAGCAGCCCCGGCUAACUCCGUGCCAGCAGCCGCGGUAAUACGGAGGGGGCAAGCGUUGUUCGGAGUGACUGGGCGUAAAGCGCACGUAGGCGGUUAUGUAAGUCUAUUGUUAAAGGCAUCGGCUCAACCGAUGUAUUGCAGUGGAAACUACAGAACUAGAGUACCGGAGAGGAAUGCGGAAUAUCUGGUGUAGCGGUGGAAUGCGUAGAUAUCAGAUAGAACACCUGUUGCGAAGGCGGCAUUCUGGUCGGUAACUGACGCUGAGGUGCGAAAGCGUGGGGAGCAAACA